CCGGGCCGUUUCCUUUACUUCAUAUUUUGUUUCUUCUGGUUUGCUUAUAAGAUAGUGAGGAGAGGAAGAACGCUGCUUUGUUUGACGAGUAACAAGAAAGGAAACAAAACAAAACCUCAUCGACCCGGCAGUUUACUCUGUUUGAGCUGGAAUUUAUUUAUUUAUAUCUGUGUAAACAACCACAGGCAGAAUGUCCUUAGAGCUUGCUCCUUCCUUGACUUGUUGUCUAAUUAUGAUUAUGAUGGCUUGUUGUACUUGAGAAAUACUACUACUUGGCCGAAAUGAUCACUGUUGGUGUU